UGAACCGGGAAGAGCCCAGCGCAUAACCUCGCGUCCGGCCAGGGCGCGAGGGGUGUUGCGUUUCGGAGGGGUCCAGCACGUCGUCCCACACCGCCUAAGUCAUGCUUGAAAGCGGCCACUACCCGUGGAGGGUGAUAGGCCCGUGUGGCGGCGCCCGCGAGGGCAGGCGUGGGGCGGUCGGAAAGGGCCUCUCUGUAGAGUCGGGUUGCUUGAAAGUGCAGCCCAAAGCAGGUGGUAAACUCCAUCUAAGGCUAAAUAUGACCACGAGACCGAUAGCGAACAAGUACCGUGAGGGAAAGUUGAAAAGAACUUUGAAGAGAGAGUUCAAGAGUACGUGAAACCGUUAAGAGCCAAACGGGUGGGACCUCGAAGGUCGAACUGAGGGGAUUCAGCCCGCCGGCUGCGGCUGGGUCGGGGUGUGGACUCGUUCCUGAUGCGACCCGUGGAUGUUCUCCCGGGCGCGCCUCCGACUCAGCGCCGCUGUCGACGGGCGUAUUUCGCCUCGUAGUAGGUCGCCGCGACCCGUUGCCUUGGGGACGUCUAAGGCCCGGUUUGGGACUGGUACCCCGCCGCCUUGCCCUGGUCCUUGUGGCCGGGGAUUAACGAGGCGACGGGGGAAUCCCCCGGUGCAUUCCUGGCUGCCCUGCGACGGUCGUUGGCGGUGGCGGUGGUUUACUGCCGUGGCCGCCGUCUAACAUGUGUGCGAGUCAUUGGGCUGUCUAAACCCAAAGGCGCAAUGAAAGUGACAGGGGGAGAGUAGGGGCGGGGGCUUCGGUUCUCGUCCUCUCUCUCCUGGGGCCGAUCCCUGGCCGGUUGCCUGCCGCUAUCCGCACGGUGAUUGAUGGGGGAGGGCGGAGGUGAGCUAUUUUCCCUUCGUUUCUCCCCCCGCUGGGCGGUGGUGGUUUGGCGAUGGUCCCGAUUUUUAUCGGUUGGCCCGCCUAGCGGCGGGGGGGCGCAGGCCCGGGACUCGCCAUAGUGCGCUCUGCGAGGGGGGGUUCUCCUCCUCUCGUUGCAGUAGCCGGCGAGUACCUUGAGCAGACAUGUUGGGACCCGAAAGAUGGUGAACUAUGCCUGGCCAGGAUGAAGCCAGAGGAAACUCUGGUGGAGGUCCGCAGCGAUUCUGACGUGCAAAUCGAUCGUCGGAGCUGGGUAUAGGGGCGAAAGACUAAUCGAACCAUCUAGUAGCUGGUUCCCUCCGAAGUUUCCCUCAGGAUAGCUGGUACUCGAGGGUUGCGAAUUUCAUCCGGUAAAGCGAAUGAUUAGAGGUCUUGGGGACGAAACGUCCUCAACCUAUUCUCAAACUUUAAAUGGGUGAGAUGCCGAGCUUGCUUGAAGUAGUGAAGCUGCGGCGGCUAAUCCGAGUAUCUAGUGGGCCACUUUUGGUAAGCARAACUGGCGCUGUGGGAUGAACCAAACGUCGAGUUAAGGGGCCUAAAUGAAUGCUCAUUCAGAUCCCACGAAAGGUGUUGGUUGCUAUAGACAGCAGGACGGUGGCCAUGGAAGUUGGAAUCCGCUAAGGAGUGUGUAACAACUCACCUGCCGAAGCAACUAGCCCUUAAAAUGGUAUGGCGCUCAAGCAUUCUCCCGAUACUCGACCGCCGGGGCACUACGGGCGGCCACCCGGCCGCCUCGAAGCCCCGGUGAGUAGGAGGGUCGCGGUGGUGAGCGCUGAAGGGUCCGGCGUGAGCCGGCCUGGAGCCGCCACCGGUGCAGAUCUUGGUGGUAGUAACAAAUAUUCNAGAGAGACUCCCUUGAANACCGAUGUGGAGAAGGGUUCCAUGUGAACAUCANUUGGACAUGGGUUAGUCGCUCCUAAGCCCAAGGCNAACGCCUUAUCCCACGGCUUAGAGGCAAAGGCUCAUUCAANGACGCGCAGGGCAGUGCAGUGGGAGUGGUGGUGGUGGUGUGGUGGUGAUACUGCUACUUCUACUACUACUACUACUCCUACUGUCACUGCCCCUUACAUGCGCGACCUGUCAUAGCAUGGUGUGCUCUGGGAUGCACACUGGUCCGGAUGGGCAGCACCACGGGAGGGAGUCCUUACUUCCGACCGUGGCGUCAUUGUGCCGGCUGGGAGUUCGCGGCGAAAGGGAAUACGGUACUUAUUCCGUAACCUAGACCCGGAAGAUCCCGCCGCCUCGCGCGGCGGGAAUGCAGGGCCCCGGUAACGGGAACAAGCCUGCGUCCAUCGGCGGAGGUCCGGGAAAGAGUUUUCUUUUCUGUUUAAGGCGCCGUGACCCUGGAAGCCACUCGCAGAGAGAAAGGGUGUUGGUAACACGGUCUGCCGUAGAGCGCCGCGGUUCUUGCGGCGUCCCGCGUGCCUCCGCCGGUCCGUGAAAAACGCAUGUGCGGCAACCUGCAUAGGUGAAGCGGAUUCCCAGAGCCGCGACGUACCUAUUUUCGGGCAAGUG
rnacentral:rRNA from 1 species